rnacentral:rRNA from 1 species
AUUGAACGCUGGCGGCAUGCCUUACACAUGCAAGUCGAACGGCAGCACGGGUGCUUGCACCUGUUGGCGAGUGGCGAACGGGUGAGUAAUACAUCGGAACAUGUCCUGUAGUGGGGGAUAGCCCGGCGAAAGCCGGAUUAAUACUGCAUACGAUCCACGGAUGAAAGCGGGGGGCCUUCGGGCCUCGCGCUAUAGGGUUGGCCGAUGGCUGAUUAGCUAGUUGGUGGAGUAAAGGCCUACCAAGGCGACGAUCAGUAGCUGGUCUGAGAGGACGACCAGCCACACUGGGACUGAGACACGGCACAGACUCCUACGGGAGGCAGCAGUGGGGAAUUUUGGACAAUGGGCGAAAGCCUGAUCCAGCAAUGCCGCGUGUGUGAAGAAGGCCUUCGGGUUGUAAAGCACUUUUGUCCGGAAAGAAAGCCUUGGCUCUAAUACAGUCAGGGGAUGACGGUACCGGAAGAAUAAGCACCGGCUAACUACGUG